rnacentral:rRNA from 1 species
GUCAGCUAAGACCGCAUAGGUGUAGAGAUCGCAUGAACUCUAUAUGAAAAGUGCUACGGGACUGGUAGAUGAUGGACUUAUGGCGCAUUAGCUUGUUGGUAGGGUAACGGCCUACCAAGGCGACGAUGCGUAGCCGACCUGAGAGGGUGACCGGCCACACUGGGACUGAGACACGGUCCAGACUCCUACGGGAGGCAGCAGUAGGGAAUUUUCGGCAAUGGGGGAAACCCUGACCGAGCAACGCCGCGUGAAGGAAGAAGUAAUUCGUUAUGUAAACUUCUGUCAUAGAGGAAGAACGGUGGAUAUAGGGAAUGAUAUCCAAGUGACGGUACUCUAUAAGAAAGCCACGGCUAACUACGUGCCAGCAGCCGCGGUAAUACGUAGGUGGCGAGCGUUAUCCGGAAUUAUUGGGCGUAAAGAGGGAGCAGGCGGCACUAAGGGUCUGUGGUGAAAGAUCGAAGCUUAACUUCGGUAAGCCAUGGAAACCGUAGAGCUAGAGUGUGUGAGAGGAUCGUGGAAUUCCAUGUGUAGCGGUGAAAUGCGUAGAUAUAUGGAGGAACACCAGUGGCGAAGGCGACGAUCUGGCGCAUAACUGACGCUCAGUCCCGAAAGCGUGGGGAGCAAAUAGGAUUAGAUACCCUAGUAGUCCACGCCGUAAACGAUGAGUACUAAGUGUUGGGGGUCAAACCUCAGUGCUGCAGUUAACGCAAUAAGUACUCCGCCUGAGUAGUACGUUCGCAAGAAUGAAACUCAAAGGAAUUGACGGGGGCCCGCACAAGCGGUGGAGCAUGUGGUUUAAUUCGAAGCAACGCGAAGAACCUUACCAGGUCUUGACAUCGAUCUAAAGGCUCCAGAGAUGGAGAGAUAGCUAUAGAGAAGACAGGUGGUGCAUGGUUGUCGUCAGCUCGUGUCGUGAGAUGUUGGGUUAAGUCCCGCAACGAGCGCAACCCCUGUUGCCAGUUGCCAGCAUUAAGUUGGGGACUCUGGCGAGACUGCCGGUGACAAGCCGGAGGAAGGCGGGGAUGACGUCAAAUCAUCAUGCCCCUUAUGACCUGGGCUACACACGUGCUACAAUGGACAGAGCAGAGGGAAGCGAAGCCGCGAGGUGGAGCGAAACCCAUAAAACUGUUCUCAGUUCGGACUGCAGUCUGCAACUCGACUGCACGAAGAUGGAAUCGCUAGUAAUCGCGAAUCAGCAUGUCGCGGUGUAUACGUUCUCGGGCCUUGUACACACCGCCCGUCACACCAUGAGAGUCGGUAACACCCGAAGCCGGUGGCCUAACCGCAAGGAAGGAGCUGUCUAAGGUGGGACUGAUGAUUGGGGUGAAGUCGAAACAAGGUA